GAUGAACGCUGGCGGCGUGCCUAAUACAUGCAAGUCGAGCGAACAGACGAGGAGCUUGCUCCUUUGACGUUAGCGGCGGACGGGUGAGUAACACGUGGGUAACCUACCUAUAAGACUGGGAUAACUUCGGGAAACCGGAGCUAAUACCGGAUAAUAUUUCGAACCGCAUGGUUCGAUAGUGAAAGAUGGCUUUGCUAUCACUUAUAGAUGGACCUGCGCCGUAUUAGCUAGUUGGUAAGGUAACGGCUUACCAAGGCAACGAUACGUAGCCGACCUGAGAGGGUGAUCGGCCACACUGGAACUGAGACACGGUCCAGACUCCUACGGGAGGCAGCAGUAGGGAAUCUUCCGCAAUGGGCGAAAGCCUGACGGAGCAACGCCGCGUGAGUGAUGAAGGUCUUCGGAUCGUAAAACUCUGUUAUUAGGGAAGAACAGACGUGUAAGUAACUGUGCACGUCUUGACGGUACCUAAUCAGAAAGCCACGGCUAACUACGUG
rnacentral:rRNA from 1 species